UGAACGCUGGCGGCAUGCUUUACACAUGCAAGUCGGACGGCAGCACAGAGAAGCUUGCUUCUUGGGUGGCGAGUGGCGAACGGGUGAGUAAUAUAUCGGAACGUACCGAGUAAUGGGGGAUAACUAAUCGAAAGAUUAGCUAAUACCGCAUAUUCUCUGAGGAGGAAAGCAGGGGACCUUCGGGCCUUGCGUUAUUCGAGCGGCCGAUAUCUGAUUAGCUAGUUGGUGGGGUAAAGGCCUACCAAGGCGACGAUCAGUAGCGGGUCUGAGAGGAUGAUCCGCCACACUGGGACUGAGACACGGCCCAGACUCCUACGGGAGGCAGCAGUGGGGAAUUUUGGACAAUGGGCGCAAGCCUGAUCCAGCCAUGCCGCGUGUCUGAAGAAGGCCUUCGGGUUGUAAAGGACUUUUGUCAGGGAAGAAAAGGCUGUUGCUAAUACCGACAGCUGAUGACGGUACCUGAAGAAUAAGCACCGGCUAACUACGUG
rnacentral:rRNA from 1 species